rnacentral:rRNA from 1 species
GACGAACGCUGGCGGCGUGCCUAAUACAUGCAAGUUGAGCGCUGAAGGUUGGUACUUGUACCGACUGGAUGAGCAGCGAACGGGUGAGUAACGCGUGGGGAAUCUGCCUUUGAGCGGGGGACAACAUUUGGAAACGAAUGCUAAUACCGCAUAAAAACUUUAAACACAAGUUUUAAGUUUGAAAGAUGCAAUUGCAUCACUCAAAGAUGAUCCCGCGUUGUAUUAGCUAGUUGGUGAGGUAAAGGCUCACCAAGGCGAUGAUACAUAGCCGACCUGAGAGGGUGGUCGGCCACAUUGGGACUGAGACACGGCCCAAACUCCUACGGGAGGUAGCAGUAGGGAAUCUUCGGCAAUGGACGAAAGUCUGACCGAGCAACGCCGCGUGAGUGAAGAAGGUUUUCGGAUCGUAAAACUCUGUUGGUAGAGAAGAACGUUGGUGAGAGUGGAAAGCUCAUCAAGUGACGGUAACUACCCAGAAAGGGACGGCUAACUACGUG